AUGUCGAACGAUCAUCUUCAGUUUAUUGAAUUAAUACGCAUAUUCUAGUAGACUAGAAUCUUUUUCAAGACGUAAUUAUUGAAAUUAGGACAGUUGUCAUUUUCCUGGAACGAUUUUCCAACCAAAUCUUUCAAAACAAACCAUUAUAUUUUCGGAGCUCUGAACUUGAUAUGCCAAUAGGUGACGAAUGAGCAAAUAACAAAAAAAUUAUCACACGGAAAACUUUCUUUUCGCAUAUUUGGAGCAAGAAAGUGUUCCAAGGCAAUAGAAAAAUAGGUGAAAAAACCAAUUAUAUUCACUAUGGUGUUGCAGCGCGUUCGAUAUAAAUUAAUACCUAUUUGUAGUUUUGUGCGGCAUGGUAAUAAAUUUAUAAAUUGUAAUAAAAAGCAACAAUAAAUUAUCGUUU